UACGGAGGGUGCAAGCGUUAUCCGGAUUCACUGGGUUUAAAGGGUGCGUAGGCGGGUUGGUAAGUCCGUGGUGAAAUCCCCAAGCUUAACUUGGGAACUGCCGUGGAUACUAUCAAUCUUGAAUAUCGUGGGGGUAAGCGGAAUAUGUCAUGUAGCGGUGAAAUGCUUAGAUAUGACAUAGAACACCAAUUGCGUAGGCAGCUUACUAAACGAUCAUUGACGCUGAGGCACGAAAGCGUGGGGAGCAAACAGG
rnacentral:rRNA from 1 species